rnacentral:lncRNA from 1 species
CCAGGCAUUCCCCCAGGCAUACCUCCAGGCAUUCCCCCAGGCAUACCUCCAGGCAUACCUCCAGGCAUUCCCCCAGGCAUACCCCAGGCAUACCCCCAGGCAUUCCCCAGGCAUACCUCCAGGCAUUCCCCCAGGCAUACCUCCAGGCAUUCCCCCAGGCAUACCUCCUGGAAAUCUUCCUGGAAAUCCACUUGGCAUGCCUCCAGGUUUUCUACUGGAAGAUGAUUGCUCUUGCUUCUUGGCCUUCUCAUACUCAG